AUUGAACGCUGGCGGCAGGCCUAACACAUGCAAGUCGAGCGGAUGAAGGGAGCUUGCUCCUGGAUUCAGCGGCGGACGGGUGAGUAAUGCCUAGGAAUCUGCCUGGUAGUGGGGGAUAACGUCCGGAAACGGGCGCUAAUACCGCAUACGUCCUGAGGGAGAAAGUGGGGGAUCUUCGGACCUCACGCUAUCAGAUGAGCCUAGGUCGGAUUAGCUAGUUGGUGGGGUAAAGGCCUACCAAGGCGACGAUCCGUAACUGGUCUGAGGAUGAUCAGUCACACUGGAACUGAGACACGGUCCAGUCUCCUACGGGAGGCAGCAGUGGGGAAUAUUGGACAAUGGGCGAAAGCCUGAUCCAGCCAUGCCGCGUGUGUGAAGAAGGUCUUCGGAUUGUAAAGCACUUUAAGUUGGGAGGAAGGGCAGUAAGUUAAUACCUUGCUGUUUUGACGUUACCAACAGAAUAAGCACCGGCUAACUUCGUG
rnacentral:rRNA from 1 species